AAAAUAACCACCCAUACAAAAUAGAGUUAUUUUUCUGGAAAUAUGCAGAAUAUACAGAUUAAUAAAAGAAGAAAAGAAGAGACUUGAGGUGGAAGCCAGAAAUGCUCAAAGUAACUCAAAGGUCAGAGAAGACUUGAGGCUAGAAGAAUCCCAGAGAAGAUUAAAGAAGACUGGAGUUCUCAGCUUCUUGAUGGCAGAGCUGGAUAAUAGAGGCAUCCUUGAUCUCCUGGGGGAUAAUGUCUGCUUUCCAGAACAUUCUUUUUUUUACAUGAACACUGGACCCCCUGUCUGUCAAUCUCUGCUGAAAUAGAAUCAACAUCAGGCACUUUGCCAUACAAGAG
rnacentral:lncRNA from 1 species